rnacentral:rRNA from 1 species
CCUACGGGAGGCAGCAGGGAGGAAUAUUGGUCAAUGGACGAGAGUCUGAACCAGCCAAGUAGCGGGAAGGAUGACUGCCCUAUGGGUUGUAAACUUCUUUUAUAUGGGAAUAAAACGUUCCACGUGUGGGAUUUUGUAUGUACCAUAUGAAUAAGGAUCGGCUAACUCCGUGCCAGCAGCCGCGGUAAUACGGAGGGUCCGAUCGUUAUCCGGAUUUAUUGGGUUUAAAGGGAGCGUAGGUGGAUUGUUAAGUCAGUUGUGAAAGUUUGCGGCUCAACCGUAAAAUUGCAGUUGAAACUGGCAGUCUUGAGUACAGUAGAGGUGGGCGGAAUUCGUGGUGUAGCGGUGAAAUGCUUAGAUAUCACGAAGAACUCCGAUUGCGAAGGCAGUUCACUGGACUGCAACUGACACUGAGGCUCGAAAGUGUGGGUAUCAAACAGGAUUAGAUACCCUAGUAGUC